rnacentral:rRNA from 1 species
AUUGAACGCUGGCGGCAUGCUUUACACAUGCAAGUCGAGCGGCAGCGCGGGGGCAACCCUGGCGGCGAGCGGCGAACGGGUGAGUAAUGCAUCGGAACGUGUCCCGUAGUGGGGGAUAACCCGGCGAAAGCCGGGCUAAUACCGCAUAUGCUCUACGGAGGAAAGCGAGGGACCGCAAGGCCUCGCGCUAUGGGAGCGGCCGAUGUCCGAUUAGCUAGUUGGUGGGGUAAUGGCUUACCAAGGCGACGAUCGGUAGCUGGUCUGAGAGGAUGAUCAGCCACACUGGGACUGAGACACGGCCCAGACUCCUACGGGAGGCAGCAGUGGGGAAUUUUGGACAAUGGGGGCAACCCUGAUCCAGCCAUGCCGCGUGCGGGAAGAAGGCCUUCGGGUUGUAAACCGCUUUUAGCCGGGAAGAAAAGGCCAGGCCUAAUACGUCUGGUUCUUGACGGUACCGGCGGAAUAAGCACCGGCUAACUACGUG